CAACUUACAUCUAUAAACGCCGGGGAAUUACGAGCCACGCUUAAAACCCAAAGGAUUUGACGGUGUCCCACCCACCUAGAGGAGCCUGUUCUAUAAUCGAUAAUACCCGCUACACCCAACCACCUCUCGCUAUUCAGUCUGUAUACCUCCGUCGAAAGCUUACCAUGUGAACGCUCAUAGUAAGUACAAUGGCCCCAACAACGUCAAUACGUCAGGUCAAGGUGCAACUUAAGUGGUGGAAAGUAAUUGGCUACAAUUUCUAAUCUAGAACAAACGAAAGGCUAUGUGAAAUCAUAGUUAUGAAGGCGGAUUUAGUAGUAAAAAGAAAAUAGAGCGUUCUUUUUAACCUGGCUCUGGGACGCGUACACACCGCCCGUCAC
rnacentral:rRNA from 1 species